GUUGUGCCCUUGAGGUGUGGCUUCCGGAGCUAACGCGUUAAGUCGACCGCCUGGGGAGUACGGCCGCAAGGUUAAAACUCAAAUGAAUUGACGGGGGCCCGCACAAGCGGUGGAGCAUGUGGUUUAAUUCGAUGCAACGCGAAGAACCUUACCUGGUCUUGACAUCCACGGAAGUUUUCAGAGAUGAGAAUGUGCCUUCGGGAACCGUGAGACAGGUGCUGCAUGGCUGUCGUCAGCUCGUGUUGUGAAAUGUUGGGUUAAGUCCCGCAACGAGCGCAACCCUUAUCCUUUGUUGCCAGCGGUCCGGCCGGGAACUCAAAGGAGACUGCCAGUGAUAAACUGGAGGAAGGUGGGGAUGACGUCAAGUCAUCAUGGCCCUUACGACCAGGGCUACACACGUGCUACAAUGGCGCAUACAAAGAGAAGCGACCUCGCGAGAGCAAGCGGACCUCAUAAAGUGCGUCGUAGUCCGGAUUGGAGUCUGCAACUCGACUCCAUGAAGUCGGAAUCGCUAGUAAUCGUGGAUCAGAAUGCCACGGUGAAUACGUUCCCGGGCCUUGUACACACCGCCCGUCACACCAUGGGAGUGGGUUGCAAAAGAAGUAGGUAGCUUAACCUUCGGGAGGGCGCUUACCACUUUGUGAUUCAUGACUGGGGUGAAGUCGUAACAAGGUAACCGUAGGGGAACCUGCGGUUGGAUCACCUCCUUACCUUAAAGAAGC
rnacentral:rRNA from 1 species